AACGAACGCUGGCGGCAGGCCUAACACAUGCAAGUCGAGCGGGCCUUUCGGGGUCAGCGGCGGACGGGUGAGUAACGCGUGGGAAUAUGCCCUUCUCUACGGAAUAGUCCUGGGAAACGGGGGGUAAUACCGUAUACGCCCUUUGGGGGAAAGAUUUAUCGGGGAAGGAUUAGCCCGCGUUGGAUUAGGUAGUUGGUGGGGUAAUGGCCUACCAAGCCGACGAUCCAUAGCUGGUUUGAGAGGAUGAUCAGCCACACUGGGACUGAGACACGCCCCAGACUCUACGGGAGGCAGGAGGGGGGAAUCCUGGAACAUUGGGGGAAACCCUAUCCUGCCAUGCCCGGGGAGGUGAUAAGGCCUUAGGGUUGGAAAGCUCUUUCAGCUGGGAAGAUAAUGACGGUACCAGCAGAAGAAGCCCCGGCUAACUCCGUG
rnacentral:rRNA from 1 species